CUGGCGGCAGGCCUAACACAUGCAAGUCGAGCGGUAGAGAGAAGCUUGCUUCUCUUGAGAGCGGCGGACAGGUGAGUAAUACCUAGGAAUCUGCCUGAUAGUGGGGGAUAACGUUCGGAAACGGACGCUAAUACCGCAUACGUCCUACGGGAGAAAGCAGGGGACCUUCGGGCCUUGCGCUAUCAGAUGAGCCUAGGUCGGAUUAGCUAGUUGGUGAGGUAAUGGCUCACCAAGGCUACGAUCCGUAACUGGUCUGAGAGGAUGAUCAGUCACACUGGAACUGAGACACGGUCCAGACCCCUACGGGAGGCAGCAGUGGGGAAUAUUGGACAAUGGGCGAAAGCCUGAUCCAGCCAUGCCGCGUGUGUGAAGAAGGUCUUCGGAUCGUAAAGCACUUUAAGUUGGGAGGAAGGGCAGUUACCUAAUACGUGAUUGUCUUGACGUUACCGACAGAAUAAGCACCGGCUAACUCUGUGCCAGCAGCCGCGGUAAUACAGAGGGUGCAAGCGUUAAUCGGAAUUACUGGGCGUAAAGCGCGCGUAGGUGGUUUGUUAAGUUGAAUGUGAAAUCCCCGGGCUCAACCUGGGAACUGCAUCCAAAACUGGCAAGCUAGAGUAUGGUAGAGGGUAGUGGAAUUUCCUGUGUAGCGGUGAAAUGCGUAGAUAUAGGAAGGAACACCAGUGGCGAAGGCGACUACCUGGACUGAUACUGACACUGAGGUGCGAAAGCGCGGGGAGCAAACAGGAUUAGAUACCCUGGUAGUCC
rnacentral:rRNA from 1 species